rnacentral:lncRNA from 1 species
UUCAGAUCACUUUCCACCUUAGGUAGUGAAACAUCCACAUCACCCUUCACCUUGGGACCUUUCAGAUGCAAAUCAAAGUCAGGCAUGGAGAUCUUGGGGGCUUUGAUGUUCAUCUCAGGCAUCUUGAAUUUAGGGCCCUUUAGUUUCGCAUCUGGACCUUCGAUAUUCACAUCAGGAACAUCAAUGUCCACCUUGGGUCCUGAGACGUCAAGGUCAGCCUUGGGCAGGUUCACAUCCACAUCUGGGCCCUCUCCUUUGAAGCCAGGCAUGCUGAACUUGGGCAUUUUCACCUUGGGCAUCUUCAGGUGCCAGUCUGGGCCUUGAACACCCACAUCUGGGGCAUUAAUAUCCACUUUGGGCCCCUUGAUGUCAACUUCGGGGCCCUUGAGGUCACCUUCCACUUUGGGCAGAGAAACAUCCACAUCGCCCUUCACCUUGGGACCUUUCAGAUGCAAAUCAAAGUCAGGCAUGGAGAUCUUGGGGGCUUUG